CAAACAGUUCACUCCCUAGCUAUCCGGAGAAGCAUGGAGUUUGCAUCUUCCUGGCUGACUCAAUACACAGUUAUAACAAGUGCCUUCAGAGAGAUUAACCAUCCUGGUGUCGAACUCAUUAAUCCUGGACAGCCAACAAGAAACGCCACCUGCCCACCUGCAUCUUGUUGGGAGUCUUUGCCCCGUCCCUGGGGAGGAGUGUCUGAGCACAGUGCUUAAUACAUUGGUCACCUGCAUAACGUAGCAUUUGGGAUUGAAGGCAGCAGCAGCACAGAAACGUGGCAGGCAGCUUUCUCACUGGUUGGCCAUUGAGAGCACCUGGCCGGUGUACACCACCCUCCGUUGUUCCCCUGUUUGCUCCUGAUGCCCUUCAAGGUCCUGGUGCGGAUGUGCUGAGUCGGCACCCAGAUAUAGCAGGCCCCACCUCUCAAUCCAUAACCCUCCAAGACAACGGCAUUCCUCAGGAGCUGUGCAUCCAGUAACGCCCCGGCCAGAGCAGCUUCAACUUCCAGCCACUGGAUCAUGUUACACCUUUCUCUGCUGGACUGAAGAUCCCAUUAUCAAAUACUUGUUCUCCAGGAAUGUACCUGUUGGUCAACCGGGAGAGCUGCUAGCUCAUUCCCCUGGACCCCAACAUUAGGAUUUAACCUAUACACUUUAAUAGACAUAGUUUGGGGGUAAUUACCUGUGUGUCAGCAAUAUGUUAAUUUGAGCCAUGGGCCAAGCCAUUAUGUAAUCUUUUAGACCAUUGGUUUAUUGUGCUUAUCUUGUCUUGCUGCUAGAACCUAUCCAGGGAUUGGGACCUCCCACGCCAUCACUUCUCUCCACCCAGCAAGCACCCUAGAUAAUCUAUUGUAAUUAAUUGUUGGGCUGUGUCUCUGAGCCUAAUAAGCAAAGAGACACUUUGCCA